UGGAUCAGAAUUUCUAAAACUGUGAGUUGUGGUAAACUUUGCCUUUUUGUAUGUUGACCUUUCUCAGGUGCUUAUCAUAGCAAUGGAAACCCAAUACCAAAGAGAUAUGUAUUUUCAGUAUGCUCUUUUCUACAUGGAUGGACCAACCAAGCUGUUUGGAAACAUGUGGAGUUCAUUAGGAGAUCAGAAUGAAUAUGUCCUAGGAGAUAUCUUCAGGUUUCUAAAAAGGAAUGGGUAACUCUCCUGGAAAUAUUCCAGACCACAUUUCCUGUAAGAAUAUGACUGCCAGCACUACCAAGAAAUGUUAGUCCAUCAAAGAGAGGAGAUAGUGAUGGAGCAGAGCAGCUUACACAGUGGCAGCCAUGAAGCAGAGACAGCGCUAUACAGCAGGGACUCUGGUCAUGCAACAGCUCGUAAGGACAAGCUCCCUGGUGAUACAUUUUCAUCACUAGCGUCACAUCUUCCACAGUUCACCACAUUGCAAUAAUGGCAUCCUAUCAGGAAUCAACCAGGAGACUAAUCCAUUGGAUAGAUACUGAUAUAAUUCUCUCUGGAGAAUCGAUCGCAGACAAAUCCAGGAUGGUUCUUAGAUAAUCUACGUGAUUCUCAGUCCAAACAAGCUGAGGAUCAAAUUGAACCAUCAAACCACAGCUGAACAAGCAUGGCCAGAAGACGCUGGCAAUAGAAACAUCCGGCCUUGGUAUUUUCAUCCUCUUAACUGAGCAUGUGCAUUUCCGGCAGGAGUAGACCAUCUUCCAGUUUAGAGUUAUCGCUUAUUUGGCGCCUACAAGGAGAACAAACCAUCGUUGACACUAAAGAGCGAAAGACCUGGGGAGUCUCAAGGAUAGCCCUGACCUUUGAUAACUAUCCAAUAACAUUUUCACCUGUAUCUUGGUCUAUAAAAGUAGAAUACUUGAAAUUAUAUAUCUGUUUAUAGUUUUAUAUCAAGCAUAUAGAAUCAUUGGAAAAACUAGAGGUCUUUCGCUCUCUCCCUUCCCCCCUCUCUCCACGUGGCCAUGGUCAGCCUCUCUCUCUCUACCUUUUUUCUGUCUCCCUGCCUUUCUAAAAUAAAGCUCUAAAACUAUAAAAAAGAGGUCUUUGA
rnacentral:lncRNA from 1 species